UACGGUAGGUGGCAAGCGUUACUCGGAAUCACUAGGCGUAAAGCGCAGGUAGGAGGUUCGAUAAGUCCUGUUGUGAAAGCUCCCGGCUUAACUGGGAGAGGUCAACGGAACUGUCGAGCUAGAGUGUGGUAGAGGUAGCUGGAAUUCCGGUGUAGCGGUGAAAUGCGUAGAUAUCGGGAGGAAUACCUAUGGCGAAAGCAGGCUACUGGACCAUCACUGACUCGUGAUCUGCGAAAGCUAGGGGAGCAAACAGGA
rnacentral:rRNA from 1 species